AACGAACGCUGGCGGCAUGCCUAACACAUGCAAGUCGAACGAGACCUUCGGGUCUAGUGGCGCACGGGUGCGUAACGCGUGGGAACCUGCCCUUAGGUUCGGAAUAACUCCCCGAGAGGGGUGCUAAUACCGGAUAAUGUCUUCGGACUAAAGAUUUAUCGCCUUUGGAUGGGCCCGCGUUGGAUUAGCUAGUUGGUAGGGUAAAAGCCUACCAAGGCGACGAUCCAUAGCUGGUCUGAGAGGAUGAUCAGCCACACUGGGACUGAGACACGGCCCAGACUCCUACGGGAGGCAGCAGUGGGGAAUAUUGGACAAUGGGCGAAAGCCUGAUCCAGCAAUGCCGCGUGAGUGAUGAAGGCCUUAGGGUUGUAAAGCUCUUUUACCCGGGAUGAUAAUGACAGUACCGGGAGAAUAAGCUCCGGCUAACUCCGUG
rnacentral:rRNA from 1 species